GCGUCUGUAGCUCAAUUGGAUAGAGCAUCAGUCUUCGGAACUGAGGGUUCGGGGUUCGAGUCCCUGCAGGCGCA
rnacentral:tRNA from 1 species